CCGGCACGGGUGAGUAACGCGUAUGCAACUUGCCUAUCAGAGGGGAUAACCCGGCGAAAGUCGGACUAAUACCGCAUGAAGCAGGGAUCCCGCAUGGGAAUAUUUGCUAAAGAUUCAUCGCUGAUAGAUAGGCAUGCGUUCCAUUAGGCAGUUGGCGGGGUAACGGCCCACCAAACCGACGAUGGAUAGGGGUUCUGAGAGGAAGGUCCCCCACAUUGGAACUGAGACACGGUCCAA
rnacentral:rRNA from 1 species